rnacentral:rRNA from 1 species
AUACGGAGGGUGCGAGCGUUAUCCGGCUUUAUUAGGGUUAAAGGGUGUGUAGGCGGGAGCCUAAGUCAGUGGUGAAAUCUCACAGCUUAACUGUGAAACUGCCAUUGAAACUGGGUUUCUUGAGUAUAGUUGAGGUAGGCGGAAUGUGUAAUGUAGCGGUGAAAUGCAUAGAUAUUACACAGAACACCGAUUGCGAAGGCAGCUUACUAAGCUAUUACUGACGCUGAUGCACGAAAGCGUGGGUAGCGAACAGGAUUAGAAACCCUAGUAGUCC